GAAAGAGAGUUUUUAAUUAACUUGCCAUCACUAAAGCAAAGAUAAAUAAAUAAAGCAGCAAAGGCAUAUAUGAAUACAACAAAACUUAUCCACCCUCUCUACCCCUCUUGAAGAACCCCUAGCCUCCAUCAUCGUCCGCUCCGGCUCGGCGGCGUUUUUUGCCGGUGCCGGAGGCCCUCUCUCCCUUCCUUCCUCUUUUUUUUUCCUUUGCUCUCCUAUACACCUCUUUCUCCCCUUCCGAUAUGCUCUCUACUCUGUCUUCGCUGGAAUCCUAACGCCGGAAUCUGCUCGCGAGGAUUCAAGGCCUCCAGUGACCGACGGAUAUGGAGUAGAGGCGAGGUAGUUGGAGCACUGGGUGUUGAGAGAGUCGGCGUUUAGGAUCGACGGCUCGCCAGAUCUAUUUUCCCUUCAGAUCCACGGCGGUGCUUUCACGACGGCGGCGCGUGACUCGCUCAGGAGCCUCCUCCACCUAGGACCUUUCGUUUUCUAAAGCGAUGAGGGAUUUUCGUAGGAGUGGACUUCGGUUAGAGAGCUUUGUGCUCUGAUGGGGAAUUUAUGUUUCCCUCGACCCUUGUUCGGGAUGGUCUCCGUUGGUCAUGCCUAUGGAGACGCGUGCAGGAGCGUUUGGUCGGCGUGUGUUGACAGCGUACCCCUGAGGACGGCGCGUGCAGUUCAAGCGACUGAAGUUGGGGUCUGAGUCGUCUAUGGCUCGAUCCUGUUCUGAAGAUUGAUUCACCAUCUCUGGUUUCCUCCGGUCACGGUAUCAUCAUUUUACUCCUUGCUAUAAAACCACGGUGUUGGCAAACCAGCAGGAGAGAGCUUCCUUUUCCCAGUGCGUUUUUCAAGCCUAUAUUCACCUUAGGGUGUUUUGGAAGACAUGAGCUUUAGUUGCCGGUUCUCGGCGAUAACAUAUGGCAAGCUCUUACAUCUCAGGAGUUGUCAACCGGAGGUGUAGAGUAUGACAACCCAUAUGGUGAAGUCCCAACAUCCCAGCGCCGGUUUUGGCCCUUGCGCUAACUGGUGGUUGAGCUUUACACUUUUUGUCUUGUGGACUCUGCUGAAAUGAUGAUACGGCUGUCGCCAAGGUCCGAAUUUUGAUCCGCAGUUCUCUUUUGUGCCUCAAGUUCAGAGACAGGGAUCUCCUUUGGAUGAGUGUUCAGUCGGGACAAUGCACUCCGGUGUUGUUGCUUAUGGGCCAUGGUUUUCACUCUAAUUUUGCGGAGCCCAAAAGCUUGUAGCUAAGAGAAUGUCUUGAAUGACAACCAGAUGCCACAGGUUGAUGUCCUAUCUCUCGAAACUAUUGGCAACGAACUCCGGAUCCUUUGCAAGAUGCAAAGUCUAAGCUCUUAGGACUCUGAUUGCCUUGUCUAAGAAGUUGCGCCAGUUUGGUGUUGAUGCAGUUGGUCUUGCGCUCCACUCAAAUCCCACGGUACCAACAGCUCCGGGCUUCAAUAUGAGUUUCUCUGAUAGGAUACUUGGAGAUCUAAGAUAGCUUAGGGCCAGCUUUGCAUUCUUGUUUAUAGUGGUAGAAUUAGUGUGGUGUAAGGGACGGUUCAUUUCGAGUCGUGGAAUGAACUCGUUCUCGUUUGUGGUCAAAGAGUACAACAAUGUAUGAUUGGGUAGCGUAGGAUCCAUCGAUGUGUUCCUAGGUGGUACUAGAUCGCUUUGUUGUCUUUGUGGUUGAAAUCUAUUUAGGUCAAAAUCAUUGUAAACUCUAUAUUGGUUAAUGAAAGUUGAAGUUGAGCCAAAA
rnacentral:lncRNA from 1 species